CUCGCUCUCUGUAUCUUCAUCCCAAGAGAUCUCUCUCUUGCUUUGCAUGUUAUUGACUUUGUCAACUAAUCCUAACAGGAUCUGGUGGUUUAGCAGCAUGAAGAAGCUGAGCUGAAGCAAGAACAGCGAAUAAAGACCUGAUAAGGUUUAUAAUCCAUGCUUGGCGUUCUGCAUCAUCCACGUAGCGUAAACUUGUCACUUCUAAUGCUAAGAUGACAAAGAUCGACAAGAAGUAGAUGAAGAAAGCUUUAAUCACCCGGGACUCGAGAAGCAUCGCAUUGUGCAAAGCAAACAGCUUAUCCAAAGCCACAAACAUGUUUGCCUGUUUUGCCUCAAACGCGACCUGCAAAAAUAGAUUGUUAAAAAAAUGAAUUGAUUGAUUUAUGUGACCUUGCUUCUGCUGCAGUUGAGAAAUUGUUAAGGUUUAGAGGACA